GGUGGCGGACGGGUGAGUAACGCGUAAAGAACUUGCCUCACAGCUAGGGACAACAUUUGGAAACGAAUGCUAAUACCUGAUAUUAUGAUUUUAGGGCACCCUAGGAUUACGAAAGCUAUAUGCGCUGUGAGAGAGCUUUGCGUCCCAUUAGCUAGUUGGAGAGGUAACGGCUCACCAAGGCGAUGAUGGGUAGCCGGCCUGAGAGGGUGAUCGGCCACAAGGGGACUGAGACACGGCCCUUACUCCUACGGGAGGCAGCAGUGGGGAAUAUUGGACAAUGGACCAAGAGUCUGAUCCAGCAAUUCUGUGUGCACGAUGAAGUUUUUCGGAAUGUAAAGUGCUUUCAGUUGGGAAGAAAAAAAUGACGGUACCAACAGAAGAAGUGACGGCUAAAUACGUGCCAGCAGCCGCGGUAAUACGUAUGUCACAAGCGUUAUCCGGAUUUAUUGGGCGUAAAGCGCGUCUAGGUGGUUAUGUAAGUCUGAUGUGAAAAUGCAGGGCUCAACUCUGUAUUGCGUUGGAAACUGCGUAACUAGAGUACUGGAGAGGUAAGCGGAACUACAAGUGUAGAGGUGAAAUUCGUAGAUAUUUGUAGGAAUGCCGAUGGGGAAGCCAGCUUACUGGACAGAUACUGACGCUGAAGCGCGAAAGCGUGGGUAGCAAACAGGAUUAGAUACCCUGGUAGUCCACGCCGUAAACGAUGAUUACUAGGUGUUGGGGGUCGAACCUCAGCG
rnacentral:rRNA from 1 species